CAGCAGCCGCCGCGGUAAUACGAAGGGGGCUAGCGUUGUUCGGAAUUACUGGGCGUAAAGGGCGCGUAGGCGGCCAUUCAAGUUAGAUGUGAAAGCCCUGGGCUCAACCUAGGAAUUGCAUUUGAUACUGUUUGGCUUGAGUUCGGGAGAGGUGAGUGGAAUUCCCAGUGUAGAGGUGAAAUUCGUAGAUAUUGGGAAGAACACCAGUGGCGAAGGCGGCUCACUGGACCGACACUGACGCUGAGGCGCGAAAGCGUGGGGAGCAAACAGGAUUAGAGACCCCGGUAGUCCCUGUCUCUUAUAC
rnacentral:rRNA from 1 species